GUGGGGAAUAUUGCGCAAUGGGGGAAACCCUGACGCAGCGACGCCGCGUGAGUGAAGAAGUAUUUCGGUAUGUAAAGCUCUAUCAGCAGGGAAGAAGAUGACGGUACCUGAGUAAGAAGCCCCGGCUAACUACGUGCCAGCAGCCGCGGUAAUACGUAGGGGGCAAGCGUUAUCCGGAUUUACUGGGUGUAAAGGGAGCGUAGACGGAAUGGCAAGUCUGAAGUGAAAUCCUGCGGCUUAACUGCAGAAUUGCUUUGGAAACUGUCAAUCUGGAGUGUUGGAGAGGUAAGCGGAAUUCCUGGUGUAGCGGUGAAAUGCGUAGAUAUCAGGAAGAACACCGGAGGCGAAGGCGGCUUACUGGACAAUAACUGACGUUGAGGCUCGAAAGCGUGGGAAGCAAACAGGAUUAGAAACCCCGGUAGUCC
rnacentral:rRNA from 1 species